GACGAACGCUGGCGGCGUGCUUAACACAUGCAAGUCGAACGAAGUGGCGAACGGGUGAGUAACGCGUAAUCAACCUGCCCUUCAGAGGGGGACAACAGUUGGAAACGACUGCUAAUACCGCAUACUGAAGGAGGGGAUUGCGUUUGAUUAGCUAGUUGGAGGGGUAACGGCCAACCAAGGCGGUGAGCAGUAGCGGGGCUGAGAGGACGAACUGCCAAAUUGGGACGUAGACACGGCCAAGAAUCCUCCGGGAGGCAGCAGGGGGGAAUCUUCCGCAAUGGACGAAAGUCUGACGGAGCAACGCCGCGUGAGUGAGGACGGCCUGCGGGUUGUAAAGCUCUGUUAAUCGGGACGCGGUACCGGAAUAGAAAGCCACGGCUAACUACGUGCCAGCAGCCGCGGUAAUUC
rnacentral:rRNA from 1 species